rnacentral:rRNA from 1 species
GACGAACUGCCCAAACGUUGUUCGGAAUCACUGGGCUUAAAGGGCGCGUAGGCGGCGAAUCAAGUCAGGGGUGAAAUCCGGCAGCUUAACUGUCGAAGUGCCUUUGAUACUGGUUUGCUCGAGGGAGAUAGGGUCUGUGGAACUUCUGGUGGAGCGGUGAAAUGCGUUGAUAUCAGAAGGAACGCCGGUGGCGAAGGCGAGGUGCUGGACCCUUCUGACGCUGAGGCGCGAAAGCCAGGGAGCGACGGG